rnacentral:rRNA from 1 species
UUAAAAGGAAUUGACGGGGCCCGCACAAGCGGCGGAGCAUGCGGAUUAAUUCGAUGCAACGCGAAGAACCUUUACCAAGGCUUGACAUACACCGGUAACGCCCAGAGAUGGGUGCCCCUUUGUGGUCGGUGUACAGGUGGUGCAUGGUUGUCGUCAGCUCGUGUCGUGAGAUGUUGGGUUAAGUCCCGCAACGAGCGCAACCCUCGUCCUAUGUUGCCAGCGGGUCAUGCCGGGGACUCAUGGGAGACUGCCGGGGUCAACUCGGAGGAAGGUGGGGAUGACGUCAAAUCAUCAUGCCCCUUAUGUCUUGGGCUUCACGCAUGCUACAAUGGCCGGUACAAAGGGCUGCGAUACCGCGAGGUGGAGCGAAUCCCAGAAAGCCGGUCUCAGUUCGGAUUGGGGUCUGCAACUCGACCCCAUGAAGUCGGAGUCGCUAGUAAUCGCAGAUCAGCCAUGCCGCGGUGAAUACGUUCCCGGGCCUU